rnacentral:rRNA from 1 species
AGUGAACGCUGGCGGUAGGCCUAACACAUGCAAGUCGAACGGCAGCGCAGUAAGAGCUUGCUCUUACGGGUGGCGAGUGGCGGACGGGUGAGGAAUACAUCGGAAUCUACUUUUUCGUGGGGGCUAACGUAGGGAAACUUACGCUAAUACCGCAUACGACCUACGGGUGAAAGCAGGGGAUCUUCGGACCUUGCGCGAUUGAAUGAGCCGAUGUCGGAUUAGCUAGUUGGCGGGGCAAAGGCCCACCAAGGCGACGAUCCGUAGCUGGUCUGAGAGGAUGAUAGCCCACCCUGGAACUGAGACACGGUCCAGACUCCUACGGGAGGCAGCAGUGGGGAAUAUUGGACAACGGGCGCAAGCCUGAUCCAGCCAUACCGCGUGGGUGAAGAAGGCCUUCGGGUUGUAAAGCCCUUUUGUUGGGAAAGAAAAGCAGCAGGUUAAGACCCCGCUGUUCUGACGGUACCCAAAGAAUAAGCACCGGCUAACUUCGUG